UGGUGAUCAUGGAGGAUGUGGAUUAUCUUCUACAGCACUAAUGUUAAAGUCUGUCUUUUGGAGAACAACUUCAACACCUCGGUGCCCACCAGCUGCGAGAUAAAGUUAUAAACCAAACCCCUGGUAAAAAUAAGCACAUUUAACGUGAAGUCGUCCUUCGUGGAAAAAUAGCUUGUUGGAGAAGAGGUUUUUUCUUUUGCGUUUCUUGUGUCUUUUUCGGUGGUAUGGAUGUUGCCUGGUCAAGGACACACUUUCAGGACCUCCAGCAUCUUUCUAAAAGGAAUACCAAACAAGAUGAGGAAUUGGGGAGUUGAGCAGUAUAACAACAAACUGAGGAGAACAGGAGCUUUAUUUUCAACGCGUCUGCGGCUCUACUUCUUGAUCCUCUCCUGCUGGACUGACUGGACGCUACAGUGACUCACUUUCGCCUCUUGAGGCAUGUUUCCAGAGAGUCAAUCCAGGGCCUGAAAAGCGGCUAUCCGUGGAAAAGGUCACACAUUCCCAACCGCUCCCAGUGGGAAAACAGGAGAGUCCACACCUUCUCAGGAACGCAGAGGCCUACUACCCUGAAAUCUGACAACAAUUACCACAUGAAUUUCGGCAUAUUAUAAUGCCAAACACUUUUUUCUGCAGACCUCGACUCAGCAGUGUUCAGCCAGUCUGGGGAUCAUCAGGCUAUUUUGUAGUUUUAACUGCCCAUUUAAAGUAUUUAGGCUUCGACUAAAUCUGUUGGAGGACUCAAACUUCACAUUACAUUUGCUUAAAAUUCCAAUUCACAGGCUCAAAGCUCUGUAAAUCACAAACUCUACACGUCUAUGUCAUGAACCACUGAGCCUCUAUCAACAUUGCAUCUCGGGUUCCAAUGUGCCUCACGAACAUAAAGAUUUAAUCAAAAUGUGACAGCCACGGUUUAACAGCAGCGCAUUGAGAGCAGAGACGACCUACUCGCUGCCUCUGUAUCCGUGCCAGAGUGCUCUUGAAGGUUUAAGAAUGCUGGUGAUUGCGGUAAUUGCUGUGCAGCAGAGGUUUGAUACAACUCGUACAGAGAAAUAAAAAAAAACUUUCAAACUCAUAUGUUUCUAUAGGAACCUCUCUAACAUUGUAAAGAUGUGGUCUUGGUUUAGUGACAGCCUAUACACUUAGUUUUUAUGGUACAAGCGUGACUGAAACGGUAUGUGUUAAAUUGGAUUGUUAUGUAGCUCAUGUUCCUUUGGAAUAUACUUUAUAAGCCAUACAUACAGGGGUGGACGAAAUAAUAGAAACAUGUUAAGAUAAAUUACUUAAUCACUAACAUUGUUACAGACGUGGAUUCCAUUAAAGCAACAAUUUGUUGAAUUUGUAUAUUAUUGCAGUUCUGACACAACACUGAUUUUGAGACUGUUAUUUUUAGGUUAAAGGUUGCAUAAUGUUGUUUUAUGUUGCCAAUACACUGAACUGUAUAGAUCAAUGUACGAUAAAUGCCAAACAUACUGUACGCCUGUUGAUCAGCCUCCAUCCUUCCCACAUGUUAUCCUGCUUUGUGAGAUUGUUCUUGUUACAUAUUUAUUUUUCUGCACCUGCACUUUAGGCACAGAUGACUUGGCCUACUUGCAGCUCUGUUAAUUGUCUCCUUUUGCGUCAAAAAACUUUGAAAACUCAUAUCAAAGAGCUGAUUGCCAGAUUGUUUUUAUAGCCGACAGAUGCUGAUGGCUGGUCUUCAACCUUAAACGACCGAUUUGUGAAGCAAUGUUUGUAAAUGUGAUGAAAGUACCGCCGGAAUAAAGUUAUUUUCCAUGUU